rnacentral:tRNA from 1 species
CAAAUUAAUUCUUUGAGAAGAUUUUUAUUUACAUUAAAUAUUUUAUUGUUCAUUCAAUAUAAUUUGG